CCUACGGGAGGCUGCAGUGAGGAAUAUUGGUCAAUGGCCGAGAGUCUGAACCAGCCAAGUCGCGUGAAGGAUGACUGCCCUAUGGGUUGUAAACUUCUUUUAUCUGGGAAUAAAAUGUUCCACGUGUGGGAUUUUGUAUGUACCCUAUGAAUAAGAAUCGGCUAACUCCGUGCCAGCAGCCGCGGUAAUACGGAGGAUCCGAGCGUUAUCCGGAUUUAUUGGGGUUAAAGGGAGCGUAGGUGGAUGGUUAAGUCAGUUGUGAAAGUUUGCGGCUCAACCGUAGAAUUGCAGUUGAAACUGGCAGCCUUGAGUGCAGUAGAGGUGUGCGGAAUUCGUGGUGUAGCGGUGAAAUGCUUAGAUAUCACGAAGAACUCCGAUUGCGAAGGCAGCUCACUGGACUGCAACUGACACUGAUGCUCGAAAGUGUGGGUAUCGAACAGGAUUAGAUACCCGUGUAGUC
rnacentral:rRNA from 1 species